rnacentral:rRNA from 1 species
UACGAGGGGGGCAAGCGUUGUUCGGAAUUAUUGGGCGUAAGGGGCGCGUAGGCGGUUCGGUAAGUCUCAAGUGAAAUCUAUGGGCUCAACCCAUAGUCUGCUUGAGAAACUGCCGGGCUUGAGUGUGGGAGAGGUGAGUGGAAUUCCCGAUGUAGCGGUGAAAUGCAUAGAUAUCGGGAAGAACACCGAUGGCGGAGGCACUCUGCUGGGCCGACACUGACACUGAAAGACGAAAGCCAGGGGAGCGAAUGGG